rnacentral:tRNA from 1 species
AGCAGCGUGGCUCAGUGGAAAGAGCACUGGAGUCAGAGGUCAUGGGUUCGAAUCCCGGCGCGGCCA